AUGCCCUCCACAGCAGAGUGGCAGACGGUCACAGCCAGGACCGGAGCAGCUCGCAGCGAACCGGUACCAGCUUCUCCAGUCCGACUGGUGAACAGAACAAGAGAUCCACGAGGACCCAGAGGAGGAGGCGACGAGUGCUCGUCAUAGGCGACUCCAUCCUGAGAGGUACGGAAGGACCCAUCUGUCGCCAGGACCCCUCGGCAUGAGAGUGACCGGACGAGGAAGACGGCAGGAGAACUGCAUCCGAGAGACCAACUGGCGGCUUCGGCAGUGGUGUCUUGAGGCAGGCUUCGGCUUCCUGGACAAUGACCCACACAUCACGACGAGGGACAUGCUCAGCUGGGAUGGGCUUCACCUGUCCCCCAAAGGUAAGCAUGUGUUUUCUACUAGGUUGGCGGAUCUCCUCCGGCGGGCUUUAAACUAGGCUCGUCGGGGGGAGGGGAGUACGAGGGCAGGGGAAGCUG